rnacentral:rRNA from 1 species
UGCGCCUUGCCAGCCCGCUCAGAAACUUAAAAUGAAUUGACGGGACCCCGCACAAGCGGUGGAUCAUGUUGUUUAAUUCGAUGAUACGCGAAGAACCUUACCAGGUCUUGACAUCCCCCGCGAUGCUUUAGAGAUAAAGCGGAGGUAUUCGGGGAGACAGGUGGUGCAUGGUUGUCGUCAGCUCGUGUCGUGAGAUGUUGGGUUAAGUCCCGCAACGAGCGCAACCCCUAUUGCUAGUUACCAUCAUUAAGUUGGGGACUCUAGCGAGACUGCCAGUGAUAAACUGGAGGAAGGUGGGGAUGACGUCAAAUCAUCAUGCCCCUUAUGACCUGGGCUACAAACGUGAUACAAUGGCUGGAACAAAGGGAUGCGAAGCAGUGAUGUGGAGCGAAACCCGUAAAAUCGGUCUCAGUCCGGAUUGGAGUCUGCAACUCGACUCCAUGAAGUUGGAAUCGCUAGUAAUCGCGGAUCAGAACGCCGCGGUGAAUACGUUCUCGGGGUUU